GUUUGAUCCUGGCUCAGAAUGAACGCUAGUAAUAGGCUUAAGACAUGCAAGUUGUGCGUAAAAAGCAGCGAACGGGUGAGUAAAGCGUAAGAAUUUACCUGAUAGUUUGGUGGCUAGAUUGAAAUCAAAUCCCAAAUAACCUUUUUUUUUAUAAAGACAAUUUUAAUUUUUCUUUGAAAAAUAAACAAUAUUUGAAUCGGAAAACCGAAAAAUAUUUUUCUUUUUUUUCUAAGGAUUAAUGUCGCUAUCAGAGAAGCUUACGUAAGAUUAGGUAGUUGGUGAGGUAAAAGCUACACCAAGCCGAAGAUCUUUAGCUGGUUUGAAAGAAUGUCCAGCCACACUGGGACUGAGACACG
rnacentral:rRNA from 1 species